rnacentral:sRNA from 1 species
UUUGCGCUAGGGAUUGAAGUGGCAUCCUUUUACGAAGAAUGAGUAAAAGAUAUAACGGAAAGCCCGCUCGAGC